AUGUUCAGAAUAAUAGUGAGCUCGAGAGUGUGUCUCCUGGGAAGUCAGGCAGGUGUUACCGUUGCCCGGAGCUCAAAUCGGCAAGCCUCUCCGAUUCGGACCUCCUCAUCGCCUUCUGCGCCAUUGUUGACGCAUACACACAGGCGCUCGAGAAGACCUAGCGCCGCGACAAUGAUGACACAUCCCCUAGCUAUAGAUGGCGGCCGCAGCGUAGAUCCCUUGGCCGGGUUCGAGAGUCGUUGCCCGCCCGAUGGCCAGCGCAUGACAUUUGAGGACUGCUCCACCGUGUGCUGGCUGCUCAACAGGCUCCAUGUCACCUUCCAGGAGCGCGACGUGUCCACCCACGCGCCCUACCGGGACAAGCUCCGCGUGCUGCUGCCGGGACAAACGGUUCCAUGUCACUGUCACAGCGCCUGUUCGCGGAUGUGUUAG
rnacentral:rRNA from 1 species